CCGCCCGGCCCGGCCGCCCGGAGCUCGCCAUUGGGCCUCGCUAUCGGGGUCCCGCGCGCCGGCCGUGCUGAUUGGCCGCUGGGGCUUCAUUCACGGCCCCCCUACCAUCCGCAUACACAUUCACGCCCCGGGGGCGCGGCCGCCACGUGGGGAGUGGCGCGGGGGUGGCACUGGGACCGCACCCCCUCUAGUCCUGGCUGCGUGGGCCCAGCUUUCCCCCUGCGCUGGAGACUCCGAGCCCGGCCGGUCCCACCUUCCACGAGAGCUGCAUUCCUUGCCGCAUUCCACCGGGGCGAUGGGGACUGCGGGCUCCGGGAGGCGCUCGGGCUCCGAGCAGCGACUCAGCCCCCCACUCUUCCCACUGCAUUGCCGCGGCCGCCGGGCCAGGAUUCCCGCGAGCGCCAGGCUGCGCGGGUUCCAGGCGCGGUACCGGCGCUGCUGCUCACUUCUCCCGCCUCGUCUCCCGCGGCUUCCAGCUCGCACCGAGCGGUCUUCUGUGCGCCUGUUGGCCCCAUCUCGGUUUCCCCUUUUUUCCUUCUAGACCCCGCGUCACAACUGCGCAGACCGCUUCGGUCCUGAAAGCGCUUUGGGCGUGGGGCAGAGUUGGACCCUCUCUGGCUUCCCGCUUCGCGUGGACAUCUCUUCCAUCUCCCGGGAGCUGAGGCCAGGAGUACUGCGUGAUCGGCUCCACGCUGGUAUAGCGGGCAGGCACCGCUUCGAUGCCGAGACGCCGGAUCCUUAACCCGGCAGAGUUCCAGGAUUCCGGAAUGAGAUGACCUCGAGGCGGAGACUGUGGCUCAGGGGAUUGCACCACUAGUUGAGGUGAUGGACACCGGACUGCAGUAGUCUGCUUGCUCCUUCUCCCAGCUCGAAUGGAUUAUUGGCGUUGGUCAUGGCAGGGGUCAGCCUGGGAGAAACUUCCUAUAGCAGAGAAUCUGAUGAACUCAGGGAAGGGCACUUCAGGGUGUGCAGACCAGGAGCUGUCCAGCCUGGCGUGGAGCUCUGGGGCUGGCAUUUCCCUGGGCUUGCCUGGGGUUAUUGAAAAGGGAACUGAGACCUAAGUCCUUGUUGGAAAUGCGGUCAGUGGAAUUCGGCCACCGCCUCAUUCUGCAGCUCUGGAGGGCUCCCUGAAGGAUGCUAGUUGCAGUAGAGCUCUACUCUAAGCUUACCCUCUCACCCCACACCCAGCCCCAUGCUGUAUGGCCACAGCCGUGGCCUCCACCUCUCAUGAAGAUUUCGGUCCCAGGAAGUCUUCCAUUCUUCCUGUUCUGUAUUUGCUCUCGCCUCAGAUGAAUUCACAGAUUCCAAAGCCGACAGGUUCCUGAUCUCAGGACCGAGGUGGGGGUGAGAGCAGUGUUUUAAGCCAGAAGAUCCUAAAGGAGGAAGAAGAGAAGAGGAGGAAGAUGAAGAGACACUGGCUGGUCCUGAGGAGUGGACAUCUUGCCUGGAGAAAUCUAUUGCUUCAUUUGCUCAGAACAGCGGCCUUUCUUCAGCCGGCGGCAGCUCUUUUCUCUCAGGCUCUGUGGUCCCAGUGGAAGCCGCCAUCUUCCUCCCUUGGCCUCCACAGAGAGUCUCUCUAUGCAGUUCAGGCUGGCCUUGAGCUUGCUUUGUAGCCCAGGAUGACCUCGAACUUGCAACAAUCCUCCUGCCUCAGCCUCCUGAGUACUGGGAUUACAGACGUGAGCCACCAUACUCGGCUCACAGAAACUUCUUUCCAGUCUAUCACCAACUUACUUGCUGCAGGACUCAUGCUGUCCUGUGUGUUCCCAGAGUCAGCGUGUAUGCCAGCAUGGGUGCAUGAGCACAGAGGCAGAUCCCAAGUCAGCUCAAGGAAGAAGCUUGCAAUCACUGUGGACAUUUUAACCGUGGAAGAGGAGCAGUCAGGGAUGCCAGCCCCCGAGGCCUCCGGCAGAAUGUGGACCAUCAAGGGUCCUGCCUGGGGAGCCUGGCUGUAGGCAUCGCUGUUGCCCUCUCGCAGCAAGGAUGGAAGGUGGCCCCACCCUUUGCUGGAACACCUGCGGCUAGGCUUCCUGCACCUCUGCUCCAAGGACUCCUCUGCUUGGCUCGUCUAACCAGAGUGCCUUCUGCUACUGCUAGACCUUCUGGGAUUUCACUUAAGGUGUUCUUCCUCCUAUCUACAUCCCCGGCUGGGCAGCCUCACCCUGGACAUGGAUCUGCUCCUGUGCUGACUGCUGGUUGGCCUCCACUGGACAGUUCUGCACCAUCUGGUAGAGUUUAGGUCAGUUGCGGCUGCACUCGACUGGGAGCUACCUACAGCUGCAACACACCCAAGAUGGCUGCUCACUCUCCACAGCUUCUGCCUACCUGGCCUCUAACCAUUCAGUCACCUGGCAUUGGCCACAGGCUUCCUUAUGCCACAGGCGCCAAGAAGAGAGAGGUGGAACUGGCCAUUCUUUUUAAAGCUUGGACUUCACUUCUGCCACAUCCUGCUGGUCAAAGCAAGUCAUAGGCCUAAUGGCUGAUUCAAGGGAAGGAGAACUAGGCUGCCCCUGUGUCUAGGGGCAAGGGGGAAAGGUUGAUGACCACUGAACACUGUCUCCCACAGCAUGUGGCAGUCAUUUAUUCAGGGAGUUUCUGAAGGGCAAGGAUUCAGCUCUAUCCACUAUCCCCAGCCCCAACUGUCAGGGAUUUCAGAAUACAAUGUGGGAUCCAGCCCAAUACUCCUCAUAUGGGAAUGUUGACCUGGAGAGGGUAGAGAGGUGGUGGAGUGUGUUAGCUGCUUCUGUUGGGACUCUUCAAUUUCAGGAUAGUGCAUCCAUACGCUGUCUGGGAGUCCUUUUCUGGGCAUAAGUUAUGCCCCCUGGGGCAUGAUGGGCAUAUUUCAUUCAGCCACAUGGUUACACAGAGCCCUGGAUCCAAACACAGACUUAAUAAUUAAAGCUUGCUGCUUCUCUCUCUUGUCAUUGUACAUUUAGAGCAUGUGGAAGUCAUUAGUGGUGUUUGUCAAAUAUUUCUGGCUGUGCACCUGCUGAACACAUGGCAGGAUUGCACUUCUUGGCCCUCUUGUGGUUGGGUGAAGCCUUGUGAUGAAUUCUGGCCAAUGAGUUGUGAAUGGAACUGACUUGUGCCUUGUAUGGGCAUUUAAUGGCUCCGUGAAGCCUCCAGAGCUCUUUUUUCCUCUGCUUUGGUGCUGGCAGUGUUAGAGAUGGUAUCUGCUCCAUUAAACCAAUGAAGAGACAAAGAGUGGAGCCUCAUUCGACCCAUGAUGUGGAAAUGACAAGUGAGAAACAAUCUUUUUGUUGUUUUGUUUUAAGCCACUAAAACUAAGGAGUGGUUUGUUAUGAUAGAUUGACUUCAUCUUUCCUGUCUGAUACAAGGGUCUUGUGGCUUAACCCAGAGGGAGUUCAUCUUGGUAUGUGGUGGGGGUGGAGCAGGGAGGAAAGAGCUCAUCUUUGGAGAAAAAUAAGAGGUUGGAGUAGGUGUUGGGCUGGGGAUUCUACACAUAGGCCACCUAAUAUAAGCAACUAGUAUAUGAAUGUGUGCUUCAAAGAGUUACAAGAGCUUAGUAUUGAAAAUGGAAAUACUAAAUAGUCAGGAAAGUGGGAAUAUUAAAAAAAUAUUCCUGCCCUGGCCUGCCAUGUGUAUAUUACCUCCCUGUGUCAGUCCCCUCAUUCACUGUUGGGGAUUUGAGUAGUUGUCUUAAAGGCAAGUGAUUUGAAUGCCCAGACAUUUGCAUAUGGGCUUCCCUUCUGUUGCUUUCUUUAUUCUAGCUCAGUGGCUCUCUAACUUUAGUGUGCCUAAAAAUUUCUGUUCAUGGCUGUAUAAACAAACCGAUGUAUACUGUACUUUAUGAGUGAUUUCAGUGUUCUUCCAGGGUACUUUUGACUACGUGCAAUUCUUUCUUAUGUACAUACUUUCAAUCUAACCCCUGUAUGUGAUGAGAGUCCAUUGUUCCAAACCCAAAGAACCUUGCAAUUUUUAUGAGAUGCUGAGCGCACAAGAUGUCAGCAGCAGCUGCUCUUAGCCUGCUAUCCACCUAUCACCCAAGCCCUUUUGGUUUUAUACCCACAGUAUAAAUCUUCAGCAUCUUUUUCCUGGAUUCCCACGAAGGGCUCCAAACUCAUCUUUUUUGCUUCUAUUCCUGUUUCCUCAAAUCCGUUGUCCACUUUACAGCCAAAGUGAGUUCUUCCAAGCACCAAUUUGGUCAUGUUGCUUCUCCAGUGUAAAUCUCCUCAACUUGGCUCCUCCAGAUUGCUCUUACUGGGGAGACCAGCAUCUGUGAUGUGUCCCUAGGACCUCAGGGCUCUGGUUUGCCUGUGUCUCUGGUCCCAUAUCUGGCAGAUUCUCCUUUGGCCUCUGUGGUCUGUGCUGGCCUUUUGCUUCCACCAACAUGUUCAAGUCCCUGUCCCCCUAACUCAGAGCCUUGGCACCUGUUGUACCAUCUGCUGGGAAUGUUCUCCCCCCUCCCUUCUCUUUUUGCCUGGUUAACUCCUACUCAUGCUUCAGAUGUCAGUUCAAAUGUUACAUCUUCAGAGAAGCAUUUAAGCCAGCUUAUUCUUUAUUUGCUCUCAUAGAAUGUGUUGCUUUCCUUCAGAAUAUUUAUGCCAGUUUGUAAUUAUACACUAAUUUGUUUGAUUAUCUGAUGAACACUUGUUUCUUCCACUAGAAUGUAAGCCCUAGGAGAGCAGGGGCCGUGACUUCCCUGUCACUCUUGUAUUCGCAGCACACACAGUGUGUAUUUGCUGCAUGAAUGAUGGGAUGGUACGGGUAGUGGUUCAGUGGCGGUAGUGACAGUGGCGGCGGCAGCUGAUAACAGCAAUGGCGUAUCUGUUUCUUUCUGUUUGGAGCUAUUGUCUGUUCUAAUUUUUACCUUGAGCUUCUGUGGCCUGAGAGAUAAAAAUUAUCUCCAGAUACAAAAACAAAACCUGGAAAGUAGAAAAGAUUCAGGGUCAGAUAGGGUUGAAUCGGAUCCAGAGCUUGUUCUGCAGGUUCUAGAUGUAGAGUUCUUGCUCAGAGCCCAUAACACUUCCUAGCCUGUACUCUGACAAACAGGAACUGUCCCUCAUGCGCUCCAGUGUGAAUAAUGUGUGGGGUAAAAGAACCAUCUCUUACCUCUUCUCUUUGGUUUCCUUUUCAACUCUUUCUUCUAGUUCAAAAAAUUUUUUUUUGUUAAAUAUAAGGUGAACAUAGAUUAGGCCUUAAAAAAUCUUGAUGAGAGAACAAGAAGAAACUGAGCUGAACACUGCCUUGCUCAACCUGUAGGGUUAGUGACACAAGAAAGUGUUAUUAAGCUGGAAGAAUUUAGACUGAGGGAAGUGUGCUAAUAUAAGAUUAUUUUUUUCUUGGGCUUUGGGGUCUGAUCAUACCUCUAUGAGUAAUGAAGUCAGAUUUCUUAGAAAGGAGUGACAUUCCCACCAAUUUCGUAGUCCUGGGGAAAGAUUCAUCCAGGAUCAGUAAAUGAGGAGGUCUGAGGUAGGAUUUAGCCUUAGGGGAACUUUCCUUCCUUUUCCUGGCAAUGUGGAUCAAUUUGUUCUGGAUUCUAAUACUUGGAAGUAAUAGAGCAGUAUGUUAGUUAAGGUUAGGGCAGCUGUUUUCACAGAAGAGCCUUUAACAUUUCAAUAUAUUAGCAGAAUGAAUGUUGGUUUCUCGUGUUCAAAAGAAAGGUCUUGUUAAGUAAUGGUUUUCUUCCAAGGGCAACUAGGGAACUUGACUGCUUUGGUUUUGUGGUUCUACCAUAGUUAAUCUUAAGGUCAGUAUAGUGAUUAGAAAACUAACUUGGGUCAGGCCUCAGUAUAGCUUAAGCCAGGAGAUUCAGAUCCUGCUCCAGGAAGAAUUAGUUUAUCAUCAGAAGAGCUGCAUGGGUUACCAAUAUGCAGCAGUAGGAACCAAGAGGUACAUAUAAGAGGGGGAUGCUGAAGACUUGGUCUUCUGAAGGGUUGCAGGUGGAAACAUAAGCCUGGACCAGGGGCUUAUUGUAUAGGGAUAAUUUCUUGGCAAGGACACAUGAAGCCAGUGCUAAUAUACUUGCUCCUGGAAUAGCUUCAUGGAGACUGGGGCUGCAGUAAAUUAGAGGGUGGUGCCAGAAUCACCUUGGUAGAGUAUUAAGGGAGGAGUCAGAGGGUUUAGAGAUGUGGAGACUAUGACACCAGCUCACUGUGUUUUCUAGAAGUUUCCAGAGGACAUUGCCUUCAGUAGAGCAGCAGAGAGUCACUAGUCUGGGUUAUACAGCAUUACCAAGGAGCUCAGCAGUGGGUAUCUUUUAUAGCCAAGGAUUACUGGUAAACAAUGCUGCCAGAGAACUAGAUUUCUUGAUGAAAGUGGCAAUGAUGGGUUUUUGUAAUAGCAGUGGCCAGGAACAGGCAGAUAACUGACAGAAAAUUUGUAGACUUAUUAUUACAUAAAUCAGUAAAGCCAAGUGUCACUUAGGAUCCUUGUUCUAAAAGUUGUGUUGAUAGUUAAGGAGUGAGACAUAUAGGCAGCCAAUGAGAGAAAAAUCAAGGUUUAUGGCAGCUUCCAUAACAGAAAAUAAUGGUUCUUUGUCCAUUUUGCAGUUCUGAGUCACCUUUAACCUAGAGUCCAUUUACUGAAGAGGAGGCCAAGUCCCUUUGAGGAAGGACUUGACAUUUCUCCAACCUUUUCCCAAAGAGAUCUAUAGCUAUUUAUCAAGCAACUGUGUAUUUAGGAAGGAGGGAACUAUAAGAACUUUGGGAACUUCUGCAUAUAGGGUCUGGAGUGGGAAAUCAAAUGUCACAGUCAUCUCCAUAUUAGAAUUGGGGCCUAUUGGAGCAGGUGAGGAGGGAGUCCUGGUUUAAUUCUGUUUUGUGGUGGGUCCAAGGGAUUCCCCACACUGAUUCUUCUUAUUUUUUCUUCCCUAGAUUCUGAGUAUAUAGUUAGAAUAGAUAUUAGUAGUUGCCAAAACCUUCACAUUUAUUUCCUUGACUAUUGUAAUAAGCCCAAAUGGAUGCCUUUCAAAGUGCUAUCUUCUUGGACGAGAUAUUCAGUCCAAAGCCAUGCCAUAUCUUAGGUGACUUUGUGGAAAUUAGGGCCAGCACCAAAACUGAAGGAUUUUGAGGUUGUUUUCUCCCAUCCAACUCCCAUGUAAUUCAUUGGUUGGGUUCCUGAAAAAUCUAGAUUCUUCUAAGAUAGUUAGAGUAAACUAUCAAAACAAGGGCUAGUCCCAAUUGUAGCUACAGUGCUGGAUGUGUUAUCUUUCCUAGAAUAGAUCAACACAGCCUCCAGCAUUUGAUAUGCAACAUUUGAUCUUUUCAAUUCACAUCAGGAAAAGGGAUUAGAAGCAGUUUGUAUUCACAUGGGAAAGAUAGCAAUAUAUAGUCGCCAUCUUGCCCCACGGCUAUGUUGAUUUUCUUGCUCUCUGUCACAAUAUACAGGAGUCUAAAGGCUCUUUGGUUGUCUUGCCAAUCUGAAAACAUCAGACUGGUUCAGUAUUUUAAGGAAAUCAUUUUCUUUGCACCCAAUGAAUAGGACUUGGCAAAUACUUGAAUACAUGUCUCUCUUACUGAGAGACAUGCUAAGGAAGAGAUGGCCGUAAACUCGGCAAAGAUUCAGGUUCCAUUCAUUGCUUUUGGAGAUCUUGAUCCUUGACUCUCUUAUAGACAUAGUACUUGGUGGAUCUUUUUGGGGUGUUGAGACAGUGGGCAGUGUGCUAAUGAAUUUACCGUGCAGCCUAGAAGGUUGCCCAUGUUGAAUGGGUUCUAGAUCAGGAGACAGUAGCUGUGUCUCUGAGCUGCAGUGUAACCUGUCUGACUUCUAGGGCCACCUGACCUGGUAAAUACAGUAGCAUUAGAAUAUCUAUGGUAGAAUCUGAAAAGCUGAAUUAGGAGACGCACAGGGAAAAUACUGGGAGUUAUGGAGCAAGACUGUGUCUUGUACGGCAAAGAACUAAUCAGUGCUGGACAGGCAGACCCUGAAGUGUUCCUGGGCCUUCACAUUCUGUAACAUUGGUCAUGGACUGUCGAGUCCAUGGACUGUAUGGCCAAGGUUGCCCAGUGUGAGCUAAGUGUUAUCGUCUCUGAGUCAUAAGCCUGGUGAGAUGCAUUAGCAAUCAACUGUAUUGUGAGAAUUGUACGUUGGAGUCAGAUCUAAACAAGUUCAGAUUUUCAAGUAAGUACAUGCACAGGUGGCUUAGCUGCCCAUGUUAUCUAUUUUGUUUGAGCCAACACCCUCCUCUCAGGUCAUAUCUAGUCCCUUGUCAGAAGAUUCCCAUGGACAGCUAGUGGAGGAGCAAAUAUCUCACAUUAGUUCACAGAUGGACCAGUUCAAUGUAUUAGUUACAGAGGAUAAGUACUUAGAGGGAAUCUUUCACUAGAUAGAAGCUUAAGUUGUGUAGUUUUAUCAUCAGCUUUUAUGAAGGAAGAAGUGAUCUGAGAUGAGUUUCUACACAGGCUGUUGGGCAGUCGUGAUUUGGCUAAUUGGUCAGGGCUCUGGAAAAAGUUAGAUUGAUUGGUUAGAGACAGGGAGUCUGGAGAUAAGGGGUGUGGCUGACCCUAAGGAGUGGACACAAAAUUUAUAUAUAUAUAUAUAUAUAUUCCAAUGCUUAUCAAAGAGCAUCCAAUAUAUGAUACAUUAAACAAAGAAGGGAAAGGAAUGGAUAGGAUUUGUCAUGGGAUGUCACCUAGCAUUGCUUCUCAGGCAUCCUAUGCAUGCAAAAUUGGCUACAUAAAGAAUAACAUGGUGGUAGCAGUAGAAAGUUUUGCAUAGGUCCAACAUGAGCUCCUUGUCACCAAGGUUGAUCAAGUUAAUGCAGCCACAAAAUGUAUGACCCGUUACAGGAGAGACCAAUACUGAACACUCAAGUAUGUUUCUGAGCAUUGUGAAGAAUGACUUGUCCUUGGUAGCAACUGCCCCUGGAAAUAGCAUUGUGUUGUAAUAGCUAGAAUUUAUGAAUAGGGGAACCAAGGAGUGAAAGAGGGGCCCUCUCAUAAUCACUUCUAGGGCCCAGUUUGGGGAACUUAAGCUUUCUGUCCAGAAUCUUAAGGGUCUGUAAAAUUAGAGGUGCUAGUCCCAAGGGCUGGGGAGCUUCCAUCUGGGGAAAUAGUAAGAAUUCCACUGAAUCAUAAAGAUUCCCACCUUGUGGUUUUGCAUUCCUGGAGUUAGAAGACCAGCAUAGAAAAAGAACUUGUUGUCCUGCAUGUAGAUAUAAUGAGGAACAUGGGUAGUACUUUUUUACCCUCCAUGUGAAUUUUUCUUACUUACUACUUUCGUUCUCCUUAAAGACUAGCUCCUACAUCCAAGUUCAUCCUUAGUGUUGAAUUUUGAGAGAACACAUUAAAACAGUACAAUUUUGAUUUUUUUCAUAAGUGCAAUGGAACCUAUUGAAGAGUUUUAGCAAGGGUGCUACACGAUCAGCAAAGGACCCUGGUAGCUGUGUGAAGAGUAUAUUGAAAGAGCCAGAGUGGACUUAAAGAGUCUAUUAUAAUAGUCUUGAUAAAAGAUAAUAGGAGUUGGACUUAUAUGUUGGUGACAGUAGAGAUGAAGAGAGAAACAGAUGUAAUAGAGGUUUUUAGAGAACACAAUCAGUAAGAUGAGUUCCCUUUAUCCAUCUCAGAUCAAUUUGUUGAGAAUUGUUUUAUUGUAUACACAAGCAUUUGAAUUAUGAUGCUUAUUAUUUAAUGGAUUUUCAAACUGGUGUUGGGUUUCUCACUUUUUCUAGAGCCUGGAUUUCUGAUGGCCCUUUAUGAGGCAUCCUAGUCUGAAUUUCUAGCACAGACCCAGUGAAUGUAUACUGGGAUUCAUCUGUGCUUUCAUUGUCCUAUUUAAGGUCUAUUGAUGUCUCUAAGAGAAGUCCUGCUUAGAGUUCUUGCUGGCAGCUGUCUUCUGGGAGGAAUGAACUAUAUAUGAAUCAAAGACUUAUCUUGAAUAUUGAUGCAACAUAAUGUUUAAGAAGCCAGCAGUGGGACAUUUCUAGCUUGACCUAACAGAGAGAGACUGUUCAGUAGAGCAAAGGCUGAGUUUCAGGUAUGUCAGUGUUGAUUGUAGUGGUACCUCUGUGAAACUCUUGGACUCUAACACUGAUUUUUUUUUUUUGAUUCCAGGGAUCAAACUCAUAACCUCACAUUUGCCAAACAGGCACUUAUGCCACUGAGUUAAAACCCCGGGCCCCUAACACUGAUUAUUUGAUUAUCACUGUGAUAAGCAGAGGUUAAGAUGGAUUUGUGGGAAUGGGAUGGCAUUUUUUAAGAUUCCUAGAAUUUCUUGGUAUGAGAAGGACAAGGAAAUAGGGUAGAAGAUAGUGCUUUAAAACUUGAUUUCAUUUUAUCAGUGAGCUUUGGGCUCCAAAUGAUCAGAAUCCUGUGACUAUAUUUGUACUUAGGGCCUGGUUAGUUCUAAAGCAUUUGAAUUUUGAUGCUUAUUAUUUCAUGGAUCUCCAAGUUGAUGUUGGGUUUCUCUCUUUCUCUAGAGCUUGGAUUUCUGAUGACCCUGAAAAAGGACUUAGUGAUUGAUUCCCUGGACUUUAGUUGGGCCAUGGGUGCUAUGGACUUGGGUGCUAGGUAAGAUAGAGCUUAAUGUAAUGGGAUGGUGAGAUAUUGAAUGCAGUAUUGGAUACACUGAAGAACCUACAGGGAGUAAUUUCAGUAGGCUAUUGAAUAUCUUUGUAUUUAUAGUGUCUAAAAUAAUGUCUGUCAUUCUAGAAACUCAGUAUAUAUUUGUUUCACUAUAUUAAUUAAAUUUUUCUCCCAAAUUUCUCCAGCAACAUUCAACCUCCAUGAUAGCUUACGAGAACUGUUGCUAUUUUGUGUUUGGGAUAAUUUAGUCUCUAGGGGAAAGGCUAAAUUAGCUAAAGUUUAAGAUCUUAGUUACUGAUGAAGCAUGUCUUUGGAGAGUCUCCAAAAAGCAUGCAACUCAUUGAAGCUUCCUUUGAUAUUCAAGGCCCCAAGGACUCAGAGGUGAGAGAAGAAGACCUACAGCAUGCUGGGGUUCAGUUUUUCUGAGUAAUGCAGUGACUGGGGGAUGAGUAUGGAGUCGGGGAACUAAGUGUCUCCUUCCAGAUCAGGACCCUACUGUAGUCUUUCUGGUAGCAAAGGUUCUAAGUAUUGUCUUUGGAGUUGGAUAAGUUGGGUUUAAAGUUUUACUUCACCAUUUUCUAGAUUUGUGAUUUUGGGCAAGUUAUUUUUCUCCAAGCUGAUUAUCCAAGCUUACUUUCCAUAUCUGUAAAGUAGAGAUAUUUAUGUCAUCUACUUCAGUGUGUUGUUGUGAGAACUAAAUGUAAUAAAGCAUGAAACAUGCCUAGUUUAAUGCUUGGCAUGCAGAGAGUAGUCAAUAAAUGCUUUUUAAUAAUAAUAA